AGCCCAGCUUGCUGGGUGGAUUAGUGGCGAACGGGUGAGUAACACGUGAGCAACCUGCCCCUGACUCUGGGAUAAGCGCUGGAAACGGCGUCUAAUACUGGAUAUGUCCCGUCACCGCAUGGUGUGCGGGUGGAAAGAUUUUUCGGUUGGGGAUGGGCUCGCGGCCUAUCAGCUUGUUGGUGAGGUAAUGGCUCACCAAGGCGUCGACGGGUAGCCGGCCUGAGAGGGUGACCGGCCACACUGGGACUGAGACACGGCCCAGACUCCUACGGGAGGCAGCAGUGGGGAAUAUUGCACAAUGGGCGCAAGCCUGAUGCAGCAACGCCGCGUGAGGGAUGACGGCCUUCGGGUUGUAAACCUCUUUUAGCAGGGAAGAAGCGAGAGUGACGGUACCUGCAGAAAAAGCACCGGCUAACUACGUGCCAGCAGCCGCGGUAAUACGUAGGGUGCAAGCGUUAUCCGGAAUUAUUGGGCGUAAAGAGCUCGUAGGCGGUCUGUCGCGUCUGCUGUGAAAUCCCGAGGCUCAACCUCGGGCUUGCAGUGGGUACGGGCAGACUAGAGUGCGGUAGGGGAGAUUGGAAUUCCUGGUGUAGCGGUGGAAUGCGCAGAUAUCAGGAGGAACACCGAUGGCGAAGGCAGA
rnacentral:rRNA from 1 species